rnacentral:lncRNA from 1 species
CCUUUGGUUAAUGAGGAGCCAUGAAAGAGUAUUUGUGGAGGAAAGUGAAGUAAUUAGUUAACAUUUAGAAAGUUUAAGUGGGUAGUAAGAUGUAUGACUAAUCAGAAAUGACAGAGUCACGAGACCAGCUGGAAGAGUACUGCAAGAGUCCAAGCAAGCAGCAAUGGAAGCCUGAACUAGAAAAGAGACAGCAGCAGUGGAGAAGAGUUGAGCCACGAGGAUUUGGCAACUGACUAGAGAAGGCGCCAGGAGAAGCAAGUCCCUGAAAACCAUGCUGCUUGGGAAAGACCAACUCUUUCUCUCAUUUCCUCUUAGGGAAUUGUAAAAGGAAUUCCCUAUCACCAUUUAAAUUUGGUUAAAUUCACCAAAGAGUGAUAGGGUGAAUCACUCUUUGGUGACUUUAACCCCUCUGGCUCUUGUGUAGAGCUAAUUAGAGUUUCUUCUGGAAGAUCUGAAGCCACCAACAGUGACACUCCUCAGAUGACCCUGAUGGGCAGGUCCAUGAUUCAACCUGUUUCUUCCAGCAUCUCCCCACUGGCUGCAGCACAUCUAGGGGUUCAACCUAAGGGAGCCCCCUACUCUGGGUAUGGUUAGAGCUCCUUUCAAGAUCAUUUUAAAAUCAGAAGAGGGAAUCUUCAAGGAGCCUUGUUGGCUUCUUAUACUUAGAGAGAAACCAAGAACACAGUCAGAGUUGAUGUUUUUAAAUACCAAAUCUGUAUGCAUCUAUCAGAGAGACAGAGAGAGAAAGAGAGAGAGAGAGUUAGAGAGAGAGAGAGCUUUGAAAUAUGAAGAGAGAGAGGGAAAGAGAGAUGUUCCGAGAGAGAGAGAGAGAGAGAGAGUGUGUGUGUGUGUGUGUGUGUGUGUGUGUGUGUGUGUGUGUUAGAGAGGGAGAGAGACAGAGAGGGAGAGAAAGAGAGAGAGAGAGCUUUGAAAUAUGAAGAGAGAGAGGGAAAGAGAGAUGUUCCGAGAGAGAGAGAGAGAGUGUGUGUGUGUGUGUGUGUGUGUGUGAGUGUGUGUGUGUGUUUGUUAGAGAGGGAGAGAGACAGAGAGGGAGGGAGAGAGACAGAGAGGGAGGGAGAGAGAGAGAGAGAGAGAGCUUUGAAAUAUGAAGAGAGAGAAAGAUGUUCCGAGAGAGAGAGAAAGAGAGAGAGAGAGAGUGUGUGUGUGUGUGUGUUAGAGAGAGAGAGAGAGAGAGUGUGUGUGUGUGUGUGUGUGUUACAGAGGGAGAGAGAGAGAGAGAGCUUUGAAAUAUGAAGAGAGAGAGUAAAAGACAGAUGUUCCUAUGAAGCCCUCAGCUCCUAACCCUCUCUCUGGCUCAGUGUUUGAAGCCCCUCCAGCCGCCCAUGGCAAAACUUCCUUCCAGAGGAGCAGGCCAUGCAACCCAGACCCAUGUGUAUGCUGUCCCCUAAGAAUGAGAGCAGUGCUCUGUUUCCCAAACGGGCAGGGGAAGCAAACUUUUGUUUCCAUAUGCCCAUUCACUGUCCAAGAGACAACAUGCCCAAGCUAUGACCCAGCUCCAAGAUCUGAACGGGCCAGACUGCCUUCCUGUCUUUCUCUGCAUCCCCUGAGCUCCCUCUUGAAAAGGGAAGGAAAGCUAACAGAAAAGCCACUUUCUCACACACUUUUGGUGAGAUUUCACGAAAGCUGCAUGACCUUUCUGGAAAGCAACUUGGCAAUAUAGAGAAUCUUAAAAAACAUGUGCAUCCUUUGGCCCAGCAAUUCUGCUUCUAGGAAUCUGUCCUAAAGAAACAAGUCUGUGAUGUAAAUAAAAAUGGACAUAUUCAGUUCUUGACUGCAGUGCAACCUGAAACACUGAAAAACUGAAAAUAACUCAGAGGACCAACAAUAGGGAGAUGGUUAAGUAAACUGCAAUGUAUCUACUUGGGAAACUAAUAUGCAUCAUUUAAAAGCAUAGCUUCAAAGAAUUAUUGAUAAAACAGGAAGAUAUUUAUGUAUGCAUCUAAAUGCAUAGAGAAAAGAGGGACAUAAGACAUUCAAAUAUGAACAGCAAUCAUCUCUAGGAUUUAACUGCUGCUUUCAUUUUUAUUUGAUUUUAUUUUGAGACAGGGUAUCACUGUAUCACCCAGCCUGCAAUGCAGUGGCACGAUCUCAGCUCACUGAACCUCAACCCCCUGGGCUCAAGCAAUCCUCCCACCUCAACCUCCUAAGUAGCUGGGACUACAGAUACGCAUCACCAUGCCUGGCUAUUUUUUUUUUUUUUUUUUUGUAAUUUUUGUAGAGAUGGGGUUUCAUCAUGUUACCCAGGGUGGUUUCAAACUCCUAGGCUCAAGCAAUCUGCCUGCCUCGGCCUCCCAAAGUUCUAGGAUUAGAGGUGCGAGUCCCCGCACUCAGCCUGCUUUGACUCUCAUGCUCUUUUUAUUGUGGCAAAAUAAAUAUCACAUAAAAUUUACCAUUGGAACCACUUUUGUUUUUUCUUUUUUUUUCUUUUUCUUUUUUUUUUUUUUUGUAGAGGUGCUCUCUCUCUCUCUCCUUUUUUUUCUUUUUGUAAAGGCAUGAUCUCACUAUGUUGCCUAGGCUGGUAUUGAACUAAGUGUCUAGUUCUAUAGCACGAAGUACAUUCACAUUGUGGUGCAACUAUCAUCACCAUCCAUGUCCAGAAUUUUUUCAUCAACCCAUGGUGAAACCCUGUAACCAAAAACAUCUCCCUAUUCCCUCCACCUCCAGCCUCUGGCCACCACCAUUUGCUUUUUGUCUCUGUGAAUUUGCCUACUCUAGGUAUCUCAUAUAAGUGGAAUCACACAGUAUUGUGUUUUGUCUUUUUGCGACUGGCUUAUUCCACUUAGCAUAAUGUCCUCAAGGUGUGUUCAUCCAUGUUGUAGCAUGUGGCAGGAUUACCUUCCUUUUCAAGGUAGAAUAAUCACUGUAUGUCUAUACACAUUGAACGGACAUUUCAGUUGAUUCUACCUCUUGGUUACUGUUUUUUGUUGUUGUCGUUUUGUUGGGUUUUGUUGUUGUUGUUGUUGUUUGACAGAGUAUCACUCU